AUUGAACGCUGGCGGCAUGCCUUACACAUGCAAGUCGAACGGUAACGGGCCUUCGGGUGCCGACGAGUGGCGAACGGGUGAGUAAUGUAUCGGAACGUACCUUUCAGUGGGGGAUAACGUAGCGAAAGUUACGCUAAUACCGCAUAUUCUGUGAGCAGGAAAGCAGGGGAUCGCAAGACCUUGCGCUGAUUGAGCGGCCGAUAUCAGAUUAGCUAGUUGGUGAGGUAAAAGCUCACCAAGGCGACGAUCUGUAGCGGGUCUGAGAGGAUGAUCCGCCACACCGGAACUGAGACACGGUCCAGACUCCUACGGGAGGCAGCAGUGGGGAAUUUUGGACAAUGGGGGCAACCCUGAUCCAGCCAUGCCGCGUGAGUGAAGAAGGCCUUUGGGUUGUAAAGCUCUUUCGGCCGGGAAGAAAUCGUAUCAGCUAAUACCUGGUGCGGAUGACGGUACCGGCAUAAGAAGCACCGGCUAACUACGUGCCAGCCGCCGCCGUAAUAC
rnacentral:rRNA from 1 species